CCUUGACUUAGUUGCCAGCAUUCAGUUGGGCACUCUAAGGUGACUGCCGGUGACAAACCGGAGGAAGGUGGGGAUGACGUCAAAUCAUCAUGCCCCUUAUGACCUGGGCUACACACGUGCUACAAUGGAUGGUACAAAGGGCUGCGAAGCCGCGAGGUGAAGCCAAUCCCAUAAAACCAUUCUCAGUUCGGAUUGCAGGCUGCAACUCGCCUGCAUGAAGCCGGAAUCGCUAGUAAUCGCGGAUCAGCAUGCCGCGGUGAAUACGUUCCCGGGCCUUGUACACACCGCCCGUCACACCACGAGAGUUUGUAACACCCGAAGUCGGUGGGGUAACCGUAAGGAGCCACCCGCCUAAGGUGGGACAGAUAAUUGGGGUGAAGUC
rnacentral:rRNA from 1 species